rnacentral:rRNA from 1 species
AACGCGAAGAACCUUACCAGGGCUUGACAUGGAGAGGCUGUGUCCAGAGAUGGGCAUUCCCGCAAGGGCCUCUUGCACAGGUGCUGCAUGGCUGUCGUCAGCUCGUGUCGUGAGAUGUUGGGUUAAGUCCCGCAACGAGCGCAACCCUUGCCUUUAGUUGCCAGCACGUUUGGGUGGGCACUCUAAAGGAACUGCCGGUGACAAGCCGGAGGAAGGUGGGGAUGACGUCAAGUCCUCAUGGCCCUUAUGUCCUGGGCUACACACGUGCUACAAUGGCGGUGACAGUGGGAUGCCAGGUCGCGAGGCCGAGCAGAUCCCCAAAAGCCGUCUCAGUUCGGAUUGCACUCUGCAACUCGGGUGCAUGAAGGUGGAAUCGCUAGUAAUCGCGGAUCAGCACGCCGCGGUGAAUACGUUCCCGGGCCUUGUACACACCGGAGUA